rnacentral:rRNA from 1 species
GAUGAACGCUGGCGGCGUGCCUAAUACAUGCCAGUCGAGCGAACGGACGAGAAGCUUGCUUCUCUGAUGUUAGCGGCGGACGGGUGAGUAACACGUGGAUAACCUGCCUAUAAGACUGGGAUAACUUCGGGAAACCGUAGCUAAUACCGGAUAAUAUUUUGAACCGCAUGGUUCAAAAGUGAAAGACGGUCUUGCUGUCACUUAUAGAUGGAUCCGCGCUGCAUUAGCUAGUUGGUAAGGUAACGGCUUACCAAGGCAACGAUGCAUAGCCGACCUGAGAGGGUGAUCGGCCACACUGGAACUGAGACACGGUCCAGACUCCUACGGGAGGCAGCAGUAGGGAAUCUUCCGCAAUGGGCGAAAGCCUGACGGAGCAACGCCGCGUGAGUGAUGAAGGUCUUCGGAUCGUAAAACUCUGUUAUUAGGGAAGAACAUAUGUGUAAGUAACUGUGCACAUCUUGACGGUACCUAAUCAGAAAGCCACGGCUAACUACGUG